CCGAAACCGCCUACUUCUCUACUAUUUAGUAGGGGAAAAGCAGUAGGCGAGCGAAUAAGUAUGUCUGAAGCAAAAAGAGUAGGCGAAAAUUACCUGCGUGACGUACUAAUUCUCGCGAGAUUCGGACGUGCGCCUACUUAAAGUGCGUCCGAAACCGCCUACUUACCUAAUAUAUAAUAGGGGAAAGCAGUAGGCGAGCAAUUAAGUAUGUCAGAAACCUCAGUAAUCAUAAAGUAGUCGAGGAGUUCCCGGAUGGCCUACUGCUUCCGCCCAGAUUCUGAAGUAUUCCUUGCUGGAUACUUUUCUAUCCCAGCAGGUCACGGGAGAGGAUACGUCAUAAUCGAACACGGAGGAGAAAAGCGGCGCGGAUGCUGUCAAAUAGCUUUGGUGGAGCAGGACCUGCAAGAAAAGCUGACGACAGUAUUUGUUAGAUAAAAAAAGAGGAAAACCUGAAACAAAAUAAAAAUAUAUAUAAAGAUGUGAAUGUCCUCAGACUGGUGUGAGCACUGAGGAUGGAGAGCCACAGCAGAUCCUGGGAAUGGUUCAGUGUUAUGGACGAGAUCCUCCAUCACUCCUCCUUCCAAGUGACUCGAUCAAGGACACACUGGAGGAGACGCUGCAGAGAUCGAACCAGCAACCUUCUGCUGACCAGCUCAGUGGUUUAGACCACCACACCACAAAACUAAUGAAGCCAUGACAAGAAUUAGCAAUUGAAAAAUAUGAAAUGAAAUAUGCAAGAAACAGAA